CUACACCGUAGUAUAUAUAAGGGACUUGAGCCUUCACAGAUUUUUGUAUACAUGAGUGACCAAAAAUCAAUCAGUCUGCAGACACUGAAGGAUGACAUGUGAGUCAAAGAUUAUGCUUGGAUUUUCUACUGUGGGGCAUUGGCACCCCCAACCCCUAUGAUGUUCAUGGGUAAACUGCAGUUGAAGGAAAAAUUGUCAUGUAAUAUAGAUCCUAUUUUUAACAACAUUCUACUAAGUUGUUUUAUUCCAUGAUAAGCAAUCUCAAGUUACUUCCAAAACUACGUAUAAUGUACAUCAAAGACCAAGGCAGAAUUGGGGAUACGUCCAGGUGUUUUUCUCUCAAUCGGCUUUAAAUUUACAACGAAUUUCAGGUUCAUGAUAGCCUGUGUUCUGGGAGAGCAGUACAUGCAUGUCUGUGAAGACUGGCUUUCUAGUAGUCAGCUCUACCUAUCAGAGCCUCUAAAAAAGAUGCAGCCCUGCCAGUGCAUUGAUUUCAGCCUUGGGAGACCCUAAGCAGAAGAACUAGCUGAGCCAUGCCAUUGUGUGGACUUCCAAUUAAUGGAACUGUGAGUGGGUAUCCAAAGAACUUACAGUCUCUGUGGCAGGCAGAAUUCUGAGAUGGCUCCCAAGAUUCCUGUUUUCUGUUGGCCAAUGCUGUUCUGACUGUACCAGGUUCAUGAUAGCCUGUGUUCUGGGAGAGCAGUACAUGCAUGUCUGUGAAGACUGGCUUUCUAGUAGUCAGCUCUACCUAUCAGAUGUCCUGGGCGUGAGUGGUGGGAAAAGUUAAUAGUAUGGCCACAGCAGCCAGGUGGAAUGCCUGUUCUUCAUUGCCUACUAUGUGUCCUUGGAUAGUUGAUUAAAUUCCAUGUGCCCCAGUUUUCCUAUCUGUAGAAUGUCAAUAAUGAUGACAAUUAUAAGAUGAUGGUGAGUAUUAGAUAGUUAUAUGUGAAGUCUGGGAACCGAGUUUUCCACAUAAAAGAAAUUAAAUGUUUUUUUUAAUUUUCAAGUUACCUUUUCCCUAAUAAUCUUCUUGGUAAAAACUUUAUUAAUUUUCUUUUUCUAUAAAACUCUUAAUCCUGGUCCUUGUUAAUAUGUUUAUUGAGUCUAGUUCUCAUAUCCAGUUUUCUAUAUAUGUCUGAUAUCCAUGGACUACAUCUUUUUCACAGGGUUAAGAGCAACUGGACAGUGUGGUAUGUAGUUGAAGUGGGUUUUGUUGUAUUAACUAGAGAAUUUGUUUUCAACCCUCUGUACCAAGUUGUGUAAUUUUGUUUCUCUGAUCUUAGUUUAUCUGUUACCAUUUUCUGUGUUUGCUCUUCCUAAAGAUGAAUAAAUAUCUUU